rnacentral:rRNA from 1 species
AUGUGCCGGUGCCGGUGCUGCCGCUGCUGCUGCUGCAUCUUCACGUCGGCGCGCGCUUUCCUGGCAAGGAGCGUGUACGCGCCAGCGGCGAUCUCGGCGGCGGCGGCGUCCCCGCGCCGGAGGGCGACCUCGAGGUCGAACGCGGAGGCGCGCAUGGAGCGCAGCCCGUCGCGCGCCGCGGCGCACGCGUCGAGCAGCCCAACGGACGCCUCUAGCUCCUCCUCCACCUGCUCGGGGCGCGCGAACCGCAGGAGCGGCUCCACGUGCUCGUACACGCGCGCCACGCCUUCCAGAUCCCCCGCCAUCGCCGCCGCCGACGACGAGCACACGUACCCCUCCAUGUUAGCAGCACUUCACUUGUACAACAAGCUCUGCCCACGUAGCUGCUGGACGACCAGAUGA